AUUGAACGCUGGCGGCAGGCCUAACACAUGCAAGUCGAACGGUAACAGGAAGCAGCUUGCUGCUUUGCUGAGGAGUGGCGGGCGGGUGAGUAAUGUCUGCGAAACUGCCUGGUGGAGGGGGAUGACUACUGGAAACGGAAGCUAAUACAGCAUAACGUGACAAGACCAGAGAGGGGGGCCUUCGGGUCUCUUGCCCUUGGGUGUGGCCAGAUGGGGUUUGCUAGUAGGUGGGGUAACGGGUCACCGAGGCGACGAUCCGCAACUGGUAGGAGAGGAUGACCAGGCACACUGGAACUGAGACACGGUCCAGACUCCUACGGGAGGCAGCGGUGGGGAAUAGUGCACAAUGGGCGCAAGCCUGAUGCAGCCAUGCCGCGUGUAGGAAGAAGGCCUUCGGGUUGUAAAGGACUUUCGGCGGGGAGGAAGGGAGUAAAGUGAAUACCGUGGCUCAUUGACGGUACCUGAAGAAGAAGCACCGGCUAACUCCGUG
rnacentral:rRNA from 1 species